CCCAGCAGGUGUUAACACAGGUGAUGCUCACAAUAUUAAGAAUAGCUUGAGUCGUUCGUGGUGAGCCAGCACCUGAGUGCGUUCAACGUGCUGUCACUUAAAGGUGUGGACGACAAGACCAUGCUGAUCGCCGUAUUAGUGUUCCUUAUUGUGGGUUCAAAGCUAACCGAAGCAAAGACAUACAAUGAGCCGCUUGCCAAUCAACGUUGUCCCUAUGAUUGGGAAGCAUGUAUCAACUGGUGCAUCGCGGAGGGAUACUUCGGUGGGACUUGUAAUGUUCCACCCUACUUCAACACAUGCUACUGCUACGGAUAAAUAGUAACGAAAUAAAAUUACUUGGCCUAGA